rnacentral:rRNA from 1 species
GAUGAACGCUGGCGGCGUGCCUAAUACAUGCAAGUCGAGCGAAGCGGGGACGGGUGAGUAACACGUGGAUAACCUCCUAUAAGACUGGGAUAACUGCGGGAAACAGGAGCUAAACCGGAUAAUUAUAGAUGGAUCCGCGCUGCAUUAGCUAGUUGGUAAGGUAACGGCUUACCAAGGAAACGUUGCAUAGCCGACCUGAGAGGGUGAUCAGCCACACUGGAACUGAGAAACGGGCCAGACUCCUACGGGAGGCAGCAGUAGGGAAUCUUCCACAAUGGGCGAAAGCCUGACGGAGCAACGCCGCGUGGGUGAAGAAGGUCUUCGGAUCGUAAAGCUCUGUUAUUAGGGAAGCGGUACCUAAUCAAAAAGCCACGGCUAACUACGUGCCAGCAGCCGCGGUAAUAC